GGAUAAGAGAACUGCAUUCAUCCAUUGGGAAUCUUAGCGGUCUCGCUAAGCUCAACCUGAAAGGUUGUGAAGAUCUUGUAAGUCUACCAAACAACCUCUGUAAUUAGAAGAUUCUUCAUUAUCUUAUCCUCUUGGGCUGCAAGAAGCUUCCAGAAAACAUUGGUGAUCUACAAGCGUUAUGGACACUUGAUGCAAGCGAAACUGUAAUCUCCCAACCACCUCCAUCCAUCACCAAGCUUGGCAAACUUAGUAAUCUCAAUAUUUUGGGCGGACUUCCUAAGGAUUUAGGAUCUUUACAAUCUUUGAAAAGUUUGGAUGUUAGUGGAAGAAAAAUUUCUUGUUUAUCCAAAAGCAUUAAAGAACUCUUAGGGCUUGAAACCUUGGACAUUCAAUUUUGUCAGAAUCUUAAUAAAUUGCCAUAAGAGCUACCCCCAAAUUUGGAGAAGCUAUGUGCAGAUUAUCAUUUAGCCCUGAAGAGCAUCAGAGAUCUAGUAAUUAAGUAUCUUAAGUUGCAUUUUCUCUCAAUAUCAUGGUGUGGUCAUGAAAAAUCCGAAUACAAAACUAUAUCAAGUGAACAAGUUAAUAUGUUGAAGUCCCUACAACAUUUAAUCAGGACAUGCAUCCAGGUUUUUAUCUCUCCCUCACAUAUAUGAAUGUUGAAUAUUCUUGUCAAAUAGAUUUCUACUAAUAAUGAUUUAUGUUGCAGUGUGACUACCACCAAAGGGAUUAUUUUCUCAUUUGUUUUCCCGAAGUGAUCAGAAUUCCAGAGUUGUUCAAUUAUCAGUUUAUAAAUCAAAAUGUGAUCUCAAUUGAUCUGAAUCCAUCUUAGAAUACCAAUAACUUCAUGGUUUUUUGAUAUGGUGUGGUCCUAAUAGCGAGUAUUUGGCAGUAGCAGCUACAUUGGUCUGCAAAUAUGACCCUGACAGAAAACAUUCCUUGAAGUAUAACCUCCUUGAAUGUAGGCUCGAGUCUCCUACCACGUGUUUCUUCUACAUACCAUUUGAAACAUUGUUGCACGCUUCUGACGAUAAAGAAGGGAAGAACCCAAAUGAUUAUUACCUGUUCAAGGUAUAUUCAGUGUACGGACAGGGAGCAUAUUGAGGAAUUUGCCUGGAGUAGGACAAUAAAGCUACUGCAGUGACAACUGAAAUUGGCUACUCUAUGGUGCUUGACCAACUAAAGCCAUCACACACUUCUAGUUCGAAGGCGUCUGCUGAUCAUACCGUUGCAACAGAUAGGGGACAACAUUUCGGAUAUGAGAAUAAAGAUGUAAAGGUGGAUCAAACAGCACUGGCAGUUCAUAAGAAACAUGAAUCUCAGAAUGUUGAGCUGACUAGAGUUUGUGAUUACCCUUCAAGGAAAAUGGACGAUGCUUCAAGAGAGAGAGAGGGGGGGAGAGAGAGAGAGAGGAAAAGAAAUAGAAAGAAAAAGAGAAAUAUAGCUAGGACAAAUGAGACUAGCUGUUGCUGCUCUCAUUGCACCAAUUAGCUUGCAUGAAUUUGAUGGACCGUGAAAAACCUUUUACUUUUCUUUAAAAAAGUGUUACCCAAAGGAGAAAAUCGAGGUUAGCCUUUAUGAUAUCUUGAGAGUUUUCAUGUUCAUGUGUAUAAAAGGGUUACCCAAAGGAGAAAAUCGAGGUUAGCCUUUAUGAUAUCUUGAGAAUUUUCAUGUUCAUGUGUAUAAAAGGGUUACCCAAAGGAGAAAAUCGAGGAAGCAUUUAUGGAAUUGAAUUUUAAGAACGACGAAGAUGCGGUGGAGCAACUACUCCGACAUGAAAGCCAAGCAUGAGGAGCUAUGCAAGUAAGCACUUGUUUCUUUGAGAGUUGAAAUAGAACGGAAUGGGGUCCUCUUGCUCAUUGCAUGUUUAAGUAUUCUAUUAUUUUCAAACUUAAGCUGAAAAAGAAAACACAUAUGUAGAAAACUGAUUAUUAUCCUGUUUGUUUGAAAUUUACGUUGCAUUUAAUUGACCUAACUUUGACCAAACUUUCCUGAUUUUUCAUAUGUAAAGUGCAAAACAAAUGGUAAAACAUACUGUUGAAUCCUUAUUAGCCUUUAUCCCCUCUUAUAUGAGCAAAAGUGAGAUAAUAAAUCUUAAAUCACACUAACUAAGGUGAAGGCUUUCAAGUUACAUGAUUAACUUUUGGUAUUUCAAGGGACACAGCAAAAAAGGAGGAAACUGAAAGAUAGUUUCAAGAGAUUGGUGAACUGAGAUGGUUUUAAUCUGGAGACAUGGAAUGAUACAUAAUGGUGACUUUGACUUUGGUACUCAGAGACCCUGAUUGGGUAUGUCUCUACUCCUCUUCUAUGUUUUCCUGAUUGCUAUGCCCUUCACUUUCCUCAGUUUCAUUUGAGAAAAUACUGAGUCUAAUUGAAUCCGCUGAACAAAGGUUACAUCUUCCUCUGCUAGUAUUCAUUUCAAUUACGCUUUUACUAGUUAUUCCUAUGGAUAAUCAUGAAUUCUCUGUCAGGGGACGUAUUGUUUGAAGCAUAAGAAACUUUAGUGUCCGUAUAAAAUUCUGCAUUACUUGUACAACAUUCGUUUUUCGUGUAAAACCUGCUUAACUAAUAUGAUCUAUGUAUAAUUAAUACAUUGUUUAGCAUCUGGUAUUAAACUUCGGAUAACCGGAACUAUACAUAAGUUAUGCAUACUUUUUACCGAAAAUUAGAUGUUGUAUUGCUAAUUUUGCUGUAACUUAUAUUGAUCGCCUCUCUGUUUUCCAGAUGGAUCAGUCAGAGAGUUGCCAUUGGUUGCGAGAUUAUAAUGGGAUUGCUUCUAUUUACAUCAGUUGCUUUUCUAGAUUGUUUGUGUUCUUGGUGAAUAUAUAGCUGAGAUAUCCUUCUUCUCAAAACAAAGGACUAAAAUUUGCAAGCAUGAACAAUUCUUCAAUACUGACAUUGUUUACUCACAUCGUAACUAAGCUGCUUUGUGCUAAUUAUGUAGUGCUGGUUAAAGCAUUUUGGGGAGUUAAUAGUAUAUUGGCUAAUUGCACCACAUGU